GCAUAACAAAGGUAAAAGACACGAAAAGAUCAAACUAUAAACAUGCUAACCACAUGCCAGAACAAAGCUCAAGAAUGUUUUUAGAAAUCCCAAAAUUAUGCAGGACCUAAAAAGGUAAAAUUCAGAAUGUAUGGCAUUCAAAAACAAAUUAUCAGAAAUUCAAGAAGCAGGAAGAUACAGUCAAAACUGACUGUAAAAUUAUGUAACAUGGGAGUCAAUUUUCAUGAUCUUGGAUCAAAUAGUUUCUUAGAUAUGACACCAAAGCAUAUGCAAUAAAAGAAAAAAAUAGACAAAUUUAACUUAAAACCUUUACGCUUCAAGACACCAUCAAGAAGGUGAAAAGACAAGUCUGAGAAAAUAUUUCCUAAUCAUGUCAGAUAAAGGACUGAUACCAGACUUUAACUCUUACAACUCAAUACAAAGGUCAAUAAUCCAGUUGAAAUGGGGGCAAAAGAUCAGAAUAGACAUUUCACUGAAGAAGUUACAUAAAUGGCCAAUAAGCACAUGAAAGAAAGCUCAACAUUAGUCAUUAGAGAAAUGCAAAUCAAAACUGCAGGGUACCACCAUACACUAGGAUGGCUAUACUAAAAAAGACGGAAGUGUUGGCUAAUAUGUGAAGGAACUGGAAUCUUUACAUAUUGCCGGAGAGAAUGUAAAAUGUAUUCAGUGUGGGAAUGUUUGGCAGUUCCUUGGAGUGUUAAAACAGAUUGACCAUAUGUUAUGAACUGAACGCUUCCUGUCAAAAUUCAUAUGUGGAAGCCCUAAAGCCAGUGUGGCUGUUAUCUAGAGAUGGACCUCUAGGGAAAUAAUUAAACCAUCAUAAGGCUGGAGACUUGAUCUGCCUAAGUGCUAGAAUUACAGGCUUGAGCCACUGUGCCCAGCCUAAUUUUUACUUUUUUUUUAAGCAGAGACAAGUUUUCACCAUGUUGGCCAGGUUGGUCUUGAACUCCUGAUCUCAGGUGAUCCAUCCGCCUCGGCCUCCCAAAGUGCUGGGAUUAUAGGCGUGAGCCACUAUGCCUGGCCUCCUGUUUAAGCUACCUAGUAUGUGUUAUUUUCUUAGGGCAGCCCAAGCCAACUAUAUGACUCCAAAAUUCUACCCCCCACAAGAAAUAAAACCCAACAGAAAGAUACGUAAAGACUUGUACUCAAAUUUUCAUAGCAUUAUUAUUUAAAAAGGAGAAGCAACCCAGAUGUCCAUCAGCUGGUGAGUGGAUAAAUAAAAUGUUGUAUGCCUGUACAAUUGAAUAUUGGUUGGCAAUAAAAAGGUAUGAAAUACUGAUAUAUGCCACAGUAUAGAUGUACCUUGAAAAGAUAAUGCGAAAUAAAAGCCAGGCACAAAAUAGCACAUGGUGUAUAAUUUCUUUUUUUUCUUUUUGAGACAGAGUCUCGCUCUGUCGCCCACACUGGAGUGCAGUGGUGUGAUCUCACUGCAAGCUCUGCCUCCUGGGUUCACGCCAUUCUGCCUCCGCUGCCCUAAUAGCUGGGACUACAGGCGCCCGCCACCACACCUGGCUAAUUUUUUGUGUUUUUAGUAGAGACGGGGUUUCACCGUGUUAGCCAGGAUGGUCUCGAUCUCUCUGACCUCAUGAUCCACCUGCCUUGGCCUCCCAAAGUGCUGGGAUUACAGGCGCGAGCCACUGUGCCUGGCCAUAUGAGUUCUCUUAUAUGAAGUGUCCAGAAAACACAAAUCUAUAGAGACAAACCAUAGAUUAGUUGCGGCCUAAGGCCGGGAAUAGUAAUGGGGAGUGACUGGAAAUAGACAUAAAGUUUCUUUUUUGGGUAACAAAAAAUGUUCCAAAAUUAGAUAGUGGGGAUGAUUGUACAAUUCUGUUAUACUAACAGUCGUGGAAUUGUUCACCUAUAAUGGAUGAAUUUAUGGUGUAUCAAUUAUACUUCAAUAAAGCUUAAAAAAUAAUUUUGUAUUGUGGAGUUUAUAAAGUUAAUAACAGAGAAUGUAUGACAAUAACAGCACAGACUGGGAGAAGAGGAAUGGAAAUAUACUGCUGGAACAUUCCUAUACCAUAUUUGGAGUAAUAUAUCAUUUAUCUUUUCACUCUGAUAUGUUAAAGAUGUAUACGGUCAGUCCUCUGUAUCCACAGGUUCCACAUCUGUAGAUUUGACUGACCACAGAUCAAACAUAUUUGGAAAAAAGCAAAAAUUAAAAUACAAAAAACACAAAAAUUGAUACAGUAUAACAACUAGUUACCAAGCAUUUACACUGUAUUAGGUAUAAGUAAUCCAGAGAUGAUUUUAAGUAUAUGGGAGGAUAUGUGUAGGUUAUAUGCAAAUGUAACACCAUUUAAUAUGACUUGAGCAUCUGCAGAUUUUGGUACUCUUGGGGGGGUCCUGGAACCAAUCCCCCAAGGAUACUAAGGGAUGACUGCAUUAUAAGCCACUAAAAUAAGAAAUCAGUGAGUUACACAGCCAAUAACCCAACAAGAGAUUAAACAGAAUCAGUCAGUAAUUACUUGACCUGAAAGAAGGCCAAAAAAGAAUAAAGAACAAAUGGAACAAAUAGCAAGAGG
rnacentral:lncRNA from 1 species